CAGUAGCCGCGGUAAUACGUAGGGUGCAAGCGUUAAUCGGAAUUACUGGGCGUAAAGCGUGCGCAGGCGGUUAUAUAAGUCAGAUGUGAAAUCCCCGGGCUCAACCUGGGAACUGCAUUUGAGACUGUAUGGCUAGAGUGUGUCAGAGGGGGGUAGAAUUCCACGUGUAGCAGUAAAAUGCGUAGAUAUGUGGAGGAAUACCGAUGGCGAAGGCAGCCCCCUGGGAUAACACUGACGCUCAUGCACGAAAGCGUGGGGAGCAAACAGGAUUAGAUACCCCAGUAGUCCCUGUCUCUUAUAC
rnacentral:rRNA from 1 species